ACCACACUCUUAACCCCAAUCAUAAGAAUGGAAUAUUAACCGAGGCAUUUGAAUAGAAAUUUAGGGACCUAUUAUUACGCAACAACGGGACAAAGAGGGUUUUUGUGUUAAACGAAAAAGUCCAAAAUCGUAUGAAUCCGUCACCAUUCUUUAUCUUCCCGAGCCGAGGCAUUUGUAUACCGAUUUGGGACUGAAUUCGAUUAACACAAGCACCACCACCAUCUUAUUUGUUAACGACCAACCCAAAAUCGAAAACAAAAAAAGACUACCGCAAUAUUAUAACCCAGCCAGGCCUUAAUUAUCCAUCCGAUCUGGUUUUAUGGGACCAAGUAUCAUGCACCACACUCUAACCACAAAUCAUAAGCUUAUAGAACAGUACGGGACCAAUUACGCAACAACGGGACAAGGAGGGUUUUUUGUAUCAAUCGAAUCAGUCCCAAAUCGUAUGAAUCCAUCACCAUUCUUUUUUUAUUCCGAGCCGAGGCAUUUGUACAACGAUUUGGGACUGAGUACGAUUAACACCCAACACCACUUCCUUCCUUUGUUAACGAUCAAACCUAGAUCGAAAACAUAAAAGAGACGAACGAACCCUAAAGCAAUUAGUAUUUAACCGGCUACAAAAAAAGGAAAUAAAGCAAAUCGCAGCCGGAGGGAUUCGUAGGUCUCUGAAGAAAAGAGAAACAAGCUC
rnacentral:lncRNA from 1 species